GGGGGGGGGGGGGGGGGGGGGGGGGGGGUGGGGGUCGGGCGGGGGGGGGGGGAGCUGGCUGGUCUGACGUUAGCGGCGGGCGGGUGCGUAACACGUGGAUAACCUACCUAUGAGACUUGGAUAACUUCGUGAAACCGGCGCUAAUACCGGAUAAUAUCUUGCACCGCAUGUUUCAAUAGUGAAAGACGGUUUUGCUUUCACUUCUAUCUGGCUCCGCGCCGCAUUAGCUAGUUGGUAAGGUACCUGCUUACCAAGGCAACGAUGCGUAGCCGACCUGAGAGGGUGAUCGGCCACACUGGAACUGAGACACGGUCCAGACUCCUACGGGAGGCAGCAGUAGGGAAUCUUCCGCAAUGGGCGAAAGCCUGACGGAGCAACGCCGCGUGAGUGAUGAAGGUCUUCGGAUCGUAAAACUCUGUUAUUAGGGAAGAACAAAUGUGUAAGUAACUAUGCACGUCUUGACGGUACCUAAUCAGAAAGCCACGGCUAACUACGUG
rnacentral:rRNA from 1 species